GCUCGAAGCUCAUAAAGGCACAUUCCUACAGAGCUGGACAGAAACCUUGGCCACCCCUCAGCCUCUGGCCUGCAUGAAAAUACAGCUCCCCCAAAUACCCUCUCCUCUGGGGGACAGAACUGCAGCUCAACUCUUAUUUGACCUGAAGCAGAAGCUAUCUGGAGAGAAAAUAUAAAAAAAUUAUUGAUUAAUAGUUUUCCUCGUGGUUGAAGCAGUUCUAUGCUUUUCCUAGUCAAAGCCUAGCUGAAACUGCUUCCAGCAGCAGACACAGCUAUCCAAACAUGCCAACAAGGACCUGACCCAAUUCAAACAGUUCCAGCUCAUUUUGCACUCUCUGACCUUAAAUGUAACUCUCCUGCUUUAGAAGAGAAGUAAGAAAUCUGCAGAGAGAAGCCUCCAAGCAUGAAAUGUUCACAGAAAUCUCCAGCCCUGUCUGAAGCCCCUCAUGGGGUUCAGAUGUGUGCAAGGGAUGCACCUUGCAGCAUCUCGCUUCAACCUCCUGCUGCUACUUGGAAAGCUGUGCUGUGCCUGUGGCAGAAACGUUGUAUACAUUAAUCAUCAGGGAAGAUGGUUCCAAGAAACUAGGUUGGCUAUAUCUGGAAAUUGAAGAAAUGUCUAUUGUGUUCAUCUGUACCACCAGACUUAAUGUCAUCAACUGAAGAAACAAUUUCCAUGUCAUAAUGUAACAUCUCCACUGGAGAAAUUUAAUGGAAUUGCUUGUCCAUUUAUCACUUCAUGUUCGAUUUAAUAGCAAACUGCUACAGGCUUAAGUAAUACAAUAAAUUUAACAUGUAAAUACAAUAAUCCAUAAUUAAUUAAGAAUGCCUAUACUUCAACAGAAAAUGUGGGUGAAUAGGAAGGAAAAUGAUAAGGAAAAUAACAUUUCCUUUUGAUAAAAAGCUGCAAUUUGUUUUUCACA